GUCGAGAAUCUUGGGCAAUGCACGAAAGUGUGACCCAGCGACGCCGCGUGAAGGAUGAAGGCCCUCUGGGUCGUAAACUUCUUUUAUGAGGAAAGAAAACCCUUUACUGGGCUUGACGGUACCUCAUGAAUAAGCCACGGCUAACUACGUGCCAGCAGCCGCGGUAAUACGUAGGUGGCAAGCGUUGUCCGGAUUUACUGGGCGUAAAGCGAACGCAGGCGGAUACUUAAGUAGAGAGUGAAAGGCGGGAGCUCAACUCCUGGACUGCUCCCUAUACUGGGUGUCUUGAGUGGCGGAGAGGAAGAUGGAACAAAUCGUGUAGCGGUGAAAUGCGUAGAUAUGAUUUGGAACACCAAUGGCGAAAGCAAUCUUCUGGACGCAAACUGACGCUGAGGUUCGAAAGCCAUGGUAGCGAACAGGAUUAGAUACCCUGGUAGUCAUGGCCAUAAACGAUGUUCACCAGGUGUCGGGGCUUCGCCUCGGUGCCGCAGCUAACGCAUUAAGUGAACCGCCUGGGAACUACGGCCGCAAGGU
rnacentral:rRNA from 1 species